rnacentral:lncRNA from 1 species
CUGGCCUGUUAGCACAGGGGGUUACCUCACCCACUGUCUUUCUUCCCAGCAGAAAUUUAAUCCAGCUCAGCCAGGGCAGACAGCCCACCCUAGGGACUGAUUUCAUGGGCUGAGAAAGAAAGCACAUUGAAAAGAUCAGAGAAGGCUCAAUUUCAGGUGGCAUCUCUAUCCUCUGUUUUCCCAUCUCAUCCUCGUGCCCUCUUAUAUCCACUACACUCGACUCAGAAUGUUUUUUCCCAAAACACAAAUUGGAACAUGUCUCUCUCUCCUAAUGAAGACUUUCGAUGGCUUCCUCUUCUUGUGGAUGGAGCCCCAAUUCCUCAGCAUGGCUGAACUGUGUGUCCUGCAAUGACAGAAGUCCACAGGGGCAGAUGGUGACUGAUGGCCCCAAGGCAAGGUGGUUCAGUCAAAUCGUGAGAUGAGCAGGACUCCUAGACCUCAGGCCACCUGGGACCAGAGACUCAAGGAAGCCCUGCCUCCCCUCUCCAGGCUCUGCACAGCAGCCUCUUUCUCUGUGGGUGGAGUGGUGCCCACACGUGGCAGGGAGCUCACAGCCAGAAGAUUCCUCCUCUGGAGCAGCCUGACCUUCCUCCUUAAUCCUCCCCUGAAAACUCCCCAGGAAGGACUGGGUCCGAGUCCACCCCUGACCAGUCACCGUGACCAGAAAGGUGGAGUCCUGUGUCAGGCUGGGGGCUCCUGAGGGAUCAGGUGGCAGGAGGAAGGGGUCCAGCAUGGGGUGCUGUCCCAAGCAUCAGAAAGGGGUGCGGGCAAGCACCGUGACCCACUAAGGGGCUCACAAGGUAGCUGAGCUGCCUUCCCGGCCAGUGUUUGAAAUUAAAAGGCUAAAAAUGACUUUGUUGUCUGACCAUUGAAGUACUCGAUAAGGAAAACACGGAUAUUAAACUUAUAAAGGCAGUUAAAAAUAUUGGAAGGUGUUUCUCUUUACCAAGUUUUCAACUGAAAGCAAAUGUUAAUGAAAGACCCAUUGAAAGUGAUUUCUGGCUGUACACUAUCAAUGAAUAAUCAAAAAAUAUA